rnacentral:rRNA from 1 species
CGUCAGGCGUCCGGGAGAAACUGCUAGACUUGGGAGCGGGGGAGGUUGGAGGUACUCCAGGGGUAGAGGUGAAAUUCUGUAAUCCUUGGGGGACCACCAGUGGCGAAGGCGUCUAACCAAAACGCGUCCGACGGUGAGGGACGAAAGCCAGGGGCACGAACCGGAUUAGAUACCCGGGUAGUCCUGGCCGUAAACGAUGCGGGCUAGGUGUCACAGUGGCUGCGGGCCACUGUGGUGCCGUAGAGAAAUCGCGAAGCCUGCCGCUUGGGAAGUACGGCCGCAAGGCUGAAACUUGAAGGAAUUGGCGGGGGAGCACUACAAUGGGUGGAGCCUGCGGUUCAAUUGGAUUCAACGCCGGGAAGCUUACCGGGGGCGACAGCAGAAUGAAGGCCAGAUUAAAGGUCUUGCUGGACAAGCUGAGAGGAGGUGCAUGGCCGUCGCCAGUUCGUGCCGUGAGGUGUCCUGUUAAGUCAGGCAACGAUCGAGACCCGCACCCUUAGUUGCUACCGACCGAAAGGCGGGCACUCUAGGGGGACUGCCGCCGAUAAGGCGGAGGAGGGAGCGGGCCACGGCAGGUCAGUAUGCCCCGAAUCCCCCGGGCCACACGCGAGCUGCAAUGGCAGGGACAAUGGGUUCCCACCUCGAAAGGGGGAGGCAAUCCCGAAACCCUGCCUCAGUUGGGAUCGAGGGCUGCAACUCGCCCUCGUGAACAUGGAAU